UAAAGCUUCUGGGUUCGGGACACAGCCCAGAAAUAUAUUAAUUAAAGCGCACUCCUACAGACUUUUCAGCACUGGGGAAGAAGUGGCUAGAUCAAGUCAAGCUCUGUCAACGACGGAUGGAUGAAGAUUCACGACAGGAAAAAAAACAUUCUGCGGCCAGUGUGGUAUUCUGUCCAUGACUACACCAUCAACACCACCCCCUCCACUCCUGCACCCCACACCCCGUCCAAAUUCAUUUGCAUCCGCUGAUGAUAUCAGUAAAGAAUUGCUGGCACCGUAUGAGGCAGGGUGGGGGAAGAAGGCUUGUUUGGAUAAAACUGGACCGCAGAGUGGACACGGCCCUAAAGAAGCGAUCAAUGCCGCAGCACUCUCUCAUUCACCCUGAACUGGUGGUGAACUCCUCCGGAACGCCGCCAGCCUCUCCACCCUAUCCCAUCGCAGUCCGGGGUCACCAGGGGGGCGUCUCUGUGCCAAUAUGCAGAUGAGCCUGUGCCCCUCCAAUGACUCUGGUGUUAAGCUCCACCCAUCUAUAUGGUGGAGCGCCCCCACCCACCCAACAACACUCACACACAGAGAGACAUAAACCCACUCUCACACUGGCUUAAAUAGGCCUUUAACAGCUUCUGUCCACUCUUCCUUUAAUAGCCAAAGUGUGCCAAACCUAAUGGAUAUUGUCAAAGAUGAGAUGUGACGACUGAUUUAGAGGAGAAACCCCAAUGACCAGGCUUCACAAGCUAGAGAGAUAGAGAGAGAGAGAGAGAGAGAGAGAGAGAGAGAGAGAGAGAGAGAGAGAGAGAGAGAGAGAAUUACCUCAGCUAUGCCACAAAUCACAGUAAUAUCUUUAAAAGAUGUGGGGAUCGAUAAGGUGUCAUCUGGCUGUAUCUUGUGAAGUAAAGUGAACCCAUAAACAGCCAAUGAGCACUACUUUAUCCUCAAUUUAAGUCCUUUACUGAUAAAGUUUUUCAACUGCUAAGCAGAUUUUCUUUUACAAGCAACUGAUUUCAUGUAUUGUUAAAACAAGAUAUAACGGCUCCACUUUAAUCAGUUUAAUUACAACUUGUAUCUUGUAUUUAAUUGAUCAAACUUUGAAAAUAAAGUGCCUGUGUAUUUAUGUGCGCUUUCUUGCAACAACUGUGAAUCAAUUAAGUCGCAUGUGUUAAUUUUAACAAGAUCAUUGU